rnacentral:tRNA from 1 species
UCCCGUGUGGUCUAGUGGCUAGGAUACGCGGCUCUCACCCGCGAGGCCGGGUUCGAUUCCCCGCACGGGAA